rnacentral:rRNA from 1 species
CCGAAAGGUGACGACCUUCGGGAGCUUGCACAGGUGCUGCAUGGCUGUCGUCAGCUCGUGUCGUGAGAUGUUCGGUUAAGUCCGCUAACGAGCGCAACCCUCGCUGUGUGUUAUAUGUGUCACACGGGACUGCCGGUCUUAAGCCGGAGGAAGGUGGGGAUGAUGUCAAGUCAGCAUGGCCUUUAUAUCCUGGGCUACACACACGCUACAAUGGCCAACACAAUAGGUUGCUAAGCCGCGAGGUGGCGCCAAUCCAUAAAGUUGGUCUCAGUUCAGAUUGUAGGCUGCAACCCGCCUGCAUGAAGAUGGAGUUGCUAGUAACCGCAGGUCAGCUAUACUGCGGUGAAUACGUUCCCGGGGCUU